GGCUUCGUAGCUCAAUUGGAUAGAGCAUCUGACUACGGAUCAGAAGGUUGCAGGUUCGAAUCCUGCCGAGGUCA
rnacentral:tRNA from 1 species